rfam:Gossypium raimondii chromosome 2, whole genome shotgun sequence.
AAUCCAUACAUCAGACAUUUUCGAAUUAAAUCUUUAAAUCAUUCCCAAGCUUCAUAUAACGUUUCAUCCUUUAACUAUUGAAAAGAUGUGAUAUCAUUUCUAAGCUU